rnacentral:lncRNA from 1 species
UUUCAUCCCAUCAGAUAACAAACUCCUCCUGAAGAGGGAGGGGUGGAGAUGGGAGGGGGAGCGCAACACUGGAGUUCAGCGGGGAAAGCUCCUGAAGGUGUUGGUAUUCAGACGCUUAGGCCCCGUUUGAGCAAGCAGGUCCCUCACCUGCCGUACAGGUGCGGGCAGGUGCACGGAUAGGACUCAGAACCUGCAUUUUAUCCUGGCUCACAGAAACCCAGGAACGCAUCCCCACCUCGAAACUGAGAUGGGAAAGGAGAAACUAGAAUCUUUAAUAUCAGGUGGGAUGAGGCGUCCUGUCUCCACAGAAGCCGCUCCUCUCCAGAGAAAGACGAACAGAUGAGAAUAUUCCUCUGGGCUGAAGCAGCACCAUGCCCGGGAGGAAAGCUCUAACCAGCCCCUUGUGAUCUGGCUGCCGCCAGGGCCAGCUGUGAGGACAGGGGGUCUCCGCCGCAGGGAAAGGAAGCGGGGUCUCUAGUCCCAGGUGGAGGUGGAGGUGGAUGCAGUGGGCUCCCUCCCUGGUGACUGCACGGCCGUCUCUUCCCUUGCUUCUACUUCGUGCCCUGGCCUCAGGCUCAGCGUGAGUGCAGGCAGAGCCCACUGCCGCGACACCUCCCCUGGGGAAGGGUCAGGCAGGUGUGGCCGCAUGGCACCCACGAGGUGCCAAAUGCCUGUCCUGCGAGGCUCAGCCCCCCUAUGGCUCCCCAGCACCCUCCCCAGCCCUCCCCUGCAAGUUGGCCCACAGCCCUCUCUGCCAUUCACCCAAUCCUCUGCUCACCUGUAUCUGUUAAUUAACAGGUCAUGUUCAAGUUCAUCCUUUUACAAGAUCCGUCUUUCUAGGGAGACG